GGACGAACGCUGGCGGCGUGCCUAAUACAUGCAAGUCGAACGCUUCUUUUUCCACCGGAGCUUGCUCCACCGGAAAAAGAGGAGUGGCGAACGGGUGAGUAACACGUGGGUAACCUGCCCAUCAGAAGGGGAUAACACUUGGAAACAGGUGCUAAUACCGUAUAACAAUCAAAACCGCAUGGUUUUGAUUUGAAAGGCGCUUUCGGGUGUCGCUGAUGGAUGGACCCGCGGUGCAUUAGCUAGUUGGUGAGGUAACGGCUCACCAAGGCCACGAUGCAUAGCCGACCUGAGAGGGUGAUCGGCCACAUUGGGACUGAGACACGGCCCAAACUCCUACGGGAGGCAGCAGUAGGGAAUCUUCGGCAAUGGACGAAAGUCUGACCGAGCAACGCCGCGUGAGUGAAGAAGGUUUUCGGAUCGUAAAACUCUGUUGUUAGAGAAGAACAAGGAUGAGAGUAACUGUUCAUCCCUUGACGGUAUCUAACCAGAAAGCCACGGCUAACUACGUGCCAGCAGCCGCGGUAAUACGUAGGUGGCAAGCGUUGUCCGGAUUUAUUGGGCGUAAAGCGAGCGCAGGCGGUUUCUUAAGUCUGAUGUGAAAGCCCCCGGCUCAACCGGGGAGGGUCAUUGGAAACUGGGAGACUUGAGUGCAGAAGAGGAGAGUGGAAUUCCAUGUGUAGCGGUGAAAUGCGUAGAUAUAUGGAGGAACACCAGUGGCGAAGGCGGCUCUCUGGUCUGUAACUGACGCUGAGGCUCGAAAGCGUGGGGAGCAAACA
rnacentral:rRNA from 1 species